rnacentral:tRNA from 1 species
GGCUUUGUGGUCUAGUCGUAUGAUUGUCGCUUCGGGUGUGACAGGUCCCGGGUUCAAAUCCCGGCAAAGCCC